UACAGAGGUCUCAAGCGUUGUUCGGAUUCAUUGGGCGUAAAGGGUGCGUAGGUGGCGCUGUAAGUCAGGUGUGAAAUUUCGGAGCUUAACUCCGAAACUGCAUUUGAUACUGCGGUGCUUGAGGACUGGAGAGGAGACUGGAAUUUACGGUGUAGCAGUGAAAUGCGUAGAGAUCGUAAGGAAGACCAGUGGCGAAGGCGGGUCUCUGGACAGUUCCUGACACUGGAGGCACGAAGGCCAGGGGAGCAAACGGG
rnacentral:rRNA from 1 species